rnacentral:misc_RNA from 1 species
AUAAGGCCACAAGAGGAUUGCGUCAUCCAAGAGAAGAAACGGAGGUCGAGGGUCUCUUGCCUCAGUCGAUGGCGAGACUUGCCGGCGGGCAGAUAGUCGUCGCUCCUCCUUCCUCCUUCCCCUGUGGACGCUCGAUCAUGUGCUAAGCCAUACACACCAUGACUGUUGUGACGAGGACAGCUUCUGAAUCGUACGUUAGAUAGUGAAGAGUAGAAAAAAAAUAGUAACAAUGAGUCGCUCAAAGAAGUAUAACAACCCCUUCGCUGGGGUUCGCUACGAGCAUCUAGUCGCUGGUGUGUCGGGAGGGGUUGCCUCCACGCUCAUUUUGCAUCCUCUGGACCUCCUCAAGAUCAGAUUUGCAGUCAGUGAUACUUCAGCCACGGCAGCAAAGCCACAUUACACUGGACUGACUCAGGCUCUAGGUCAGAUCUUGAGGCAUGAGGGGAUAAAAGGAUUGUAUAGAGGAGUCACGCCCAAUGUCUGGGGUGCAGGAUCUGCCUGGGGCCUCUACUUCUUGUUUUACAACAUGAUCAAGUCAUGGUUCCAGAGUGGCAACAGCAAAGUGCACAUCGGCCCCAGCCUCCACAUGGUCGCGGCGGCAGAGGCAGGCAUCCUGACCCUCGUAAUGACUAACCCCAUUUGGGUUGUUAAGACCAGAUUAUGUCUGCAAUACACUGAUGGAACAGGCAAGGUUCUAGCGGAGUCUCAUCGGUAUAAUGGGAUGGUCGAUGCAUUUGUCAAGACCUACAAGUACGAAGGAGUCAGAGGACUAUACAAGGGUUUUGUUCCUGGCGUUUUUGGGGUAUCACAUGGUGCACUGCAGUUUAUGGCUUAUGAAGAGAUGAAGGCGAAGUACAACAGGUAUCGCAAUCUCCCUAUUGAUGCAAAACUGACAACCCUGGAAUACCUUGGCUUUGCAUCACUCUCCAAACUCUUUGCAGCUGUCACAACUUACCCAUACCAAGUUUUGCGUGCCCGCAUGCAAGACCAGCAUGCCCAUUAUGACAACUUGCGCCACUGUAUCAAAGAAACAUGGAGACAAAAUGGUGUUCGUGGUUACUACAAAGGCCUUUUACCAAACAUCUUGAGAGUAGUUCCUGCAACAGCCCUGACGUUUGUUGUUUAUGAACACACGUCACACUUCUUGUUGGAUUUGCGGAAACCAGAAGAACCACAGCAGGAAGAGAAGAAUUAAGAUAUAUCUUUAAUGCUCAGGAAGAUUACCCUUAUUUUCAUUUUAUUUUUUAUUAAUUUCAGCUCAGAUGAAUGUUCAAUAGAUUUUCAAGUCAUACAUACUUUGGAGUAUACUUCUAUCUAUAUGAUAUCAGUGUUGUAAAGAGAAGUAUGGAUUCAAAGAAAAUUAUAGUGAGAAUUAAAGGAAAUCAAAAUAUUGUAUUAUAUAUAGCUAUCACCAUUUGCUGGGCACGUGGCUAUCAAUGCACUAGUCUUCCACAUUACCAGCUUAUAAGCUAUCUUCUCGUACACUACUUUUUAAUGAAUUGCUUUGUAAUGUCAUGUAGUAGAUGUCUCAUUAAAGAAAUAUUUUGCAUGAUCUUAUAAGCUUCAAUUAAAAUGAGAUACAGAGCUAUCAUAUAUAAUGGAUUCUCGUACCCUUUUACACAGGUAGUGAAGGUAAUGUUCAAAGGAACCUCAUUUAUGCAUUUGUUUUAGUUGCUGUGAUGUUCAUGUUAGUAUUAAGUCUUGCCUUACUUAAUGUGUGAAGGGGGUUGAUGGGAAAGAAUGGGUUAACCAAACCAUUUAUAUGUGUUGGAAUAUGUGAUUGCCUUAAUUUGUAUAACAUUGAAAAAGUUGCUUAUCAGCAUAAAAUUGUUUCUGGGUACACUAUUUCAAAGUCAGACAAACUGAAGACCUCUUUUUCUCUCUUUUAUGUAGACUGUAAUAUUCAGUCUGAGAUUUGUUGAGUGGGUUCUUCAUUGACAGUAUUUAUAAACAAAAACUGAAAAAUUAAAUGCAUUAUCAAGAUUAGGUGGUACAAAUACAUUGUUGUGAUUAUGAUGUAAUGAAAUCUACUUAGAUUGCUGACUAUGUUCUUAACACAGAUGUAUGCUGAUGAGCUGUUAUCCAAUUAUUACCAUCUAUAACCUGAAGGCUGUUAUCUUGUAUGAUAUGCAGUUGUUUGGUUUUCUAUACAGGCAGCAAACAGAGGUUGGAAAUUUUACUUAGAUAUAGAUGAAAUGUAUUUGCUCAUUCCAGAAUUUAAAUAGAAUUUCAGUCUUAGUCUUUAAUUACAGGUCUACCUAACUACAGUCUUUGAUUCCUGACACAAGGGAUAAGAUUCAUUGGCAGGUUAACAGCAAAAUGCAUUUUUGUUUUUAUACACAAAUAUUUACUCUUAAUUAUUUCUUUUUUUUCUUUUUUUUCAUUCUUAUUUUUGAGAUAGAUUAGAAUGAUCAGAUCUUUUUUUUUUUUUUUUUUUUUUAGGUUUUCUAUUUUGCUAAAUCUGCCUGAAUCACAACAAAGCGUUCAUGUUAUUUCAGUUCCUGGUUAUAAGAAAUUGAUAAAAAAAUUGUUACUCAUGUCCAGAUGCCCUUGUGAUAAGAAAAAUUUGCAUCCCUUGUUAACUAUCUAGUCAGUCAAUUACUUGCAUAGAUAGAAAGUUAAUUUGUAUGUAUAUAUGUUGAAGAAAUGUAAGAAAGAUAA